AGAGUUUGAUCCUGGCUCAGGACGAACGCUGGCGGCGUGCUUAACACAUGCAAGUCGAACGGUGAACUGAAGCUUGCUUCGGGGAUCAGUGGCGAACGGGUGAGUAACACGUGGGCAACCUGCCCCUGACUUUGGGAUAACUCCUCGAAAGGGGGGCUAAUACCGGAUAUGACUGCUGCAGGCAUCUGUGGUGGUGGAAAGUUUUUCGGUCAGGGAUGGGCCCGCGGCCUAUCAGCUUGAUGGUGGGGUAAUGGCCUACCAUGGCGACGACGGGUAGCCGGCCUGAGAGGGCGACCGGCCACACUGGGACUGAGACACGGCCCAGACUCCUACGGGAGGCAGCAGUGGGGAAUAUUGCGCAAUGGGCGAAAGCCUGACGCAGCGACGCCGCGUGGGGGAUGACGGCCUUCGGGUUGUAAACCUCUUUCAGCAGGGAAGAAUUUGACGGUACCUGCAGAAGAAGCACCGGCUAACUACGUGCCAGCAGCCGCGGUAAUACGUAGGGUGCAAGCAUUAAUCGGAUUCAUUGGGCGUAAAGGGCGCGUAGGUGGCAAAGUAAGUCAGAUGUGAAAGACCGGGGCUCAACUCCGGAUCCGCAUUUGAAACUACUUAGCUUGAGGUCAGACGGAGAAAACGGAAUUCUACAUGUAGCGGUGAAAUGCGUAGAUAUGUAGAGGAACACCGGUGGCGAAGGCGGUUUUCUAGUUUGAACCUGACACUGAGGCGCGAAAGCAAGGGGAGCAAACAGGAUUAGAUACCCUGGUAGUCCUUGCCGUAAACGAUGCAUACUUGAUGUGAAUAGGCUCAACCCUAUUCGUGUCGAAGCUAACGCGAUAAGUAUGCCGCCUGGGGAGUACGCUCGCAAGGGUGAGACUCAAAAGAAUUGACGGGGACCCGCACAAGCAGUGGGGCAUGUGGUUUAAUUCGAUGCAACGCGAAGAACCUUACCUGGACUUGACAUGCAGAGUACGCUAGCAGAAAUGUUAGUUCCUUCGGGGCUCUGUGCAGGUGCUGCAUGGCUGUCGUCAGCUCGUGCCGUGAGGUGUUGGGUUAAGUCCCGCAACGAGCGCAACCCUUAUCGUUAGUUGCCAGCACAUAAUGGUGGGGACUCUAACGAGACUGCCUGGGUUAACCAGGAGGAAGGUGAGGAUGACGUCAAGUCAGCAUGGCCCUUAUGUCCAGGGCUACACACGUGCUACAAUGGUCGGUACAGAAGGCAGCAAAGCCGUGAGGUGGAGCAAAUCCUAGAAAGCCGAUCUCAGUUCGGAUUGUAGUCUGCAACUCGACUACAUGAAGUUGGAAUUGCUAGUAAUGACGUGUCAGCAAUAACGUCGUGAAUACGUUCUCGGGUCUUGUACACACCGCCCGUCACAUCAUGGAAGUUGGUUUUACCCGAAGUCGCUGACUGGACCCGCAAGGGGCAGAGGUGCCGAAGGUGAGGCCGAUGACUGGGAUGAAGUCGUAACAAGGUA
rnacentral:rRNA from 1 species